GACGAACGCUGGCGGCGUGCCUAAUACAUGCAAGUCGAACGCAGUGGGGACGGGUGAGGAACACGUGGGUAACCUCCCAUCAGAGGGGAAAACAAUUGGAAACAGGUGCUAACCCGAUAAUGAUGGAUGGACCCGCGGUGCAUUAGCUAGUUGGUGAGGUAACGGCUCACAAAGGCACAGAUGCCUAGCCGCCCGGAGAGGGUGAUCGGACACACUGGGACUGAGCAACGGCCCAGACUCCUAGGGGAUGCAGCAGUAGGGAAUCGUCGGCAAUGGACGAAAGUCUGAACGAGCAACGCCGAGUGAGUGAAGAAGGUGUUCGGAUAGUAAAACUCUGUUGUGAGAGAAGCGGUAUCUAACCAGAAAGCCACGGCUAACUACGUGCCAGCAGCCGCGUAAUAC
rnacentral:rRNA from 1 species